rnacentral:tRNA from 1 species
UCCCCGGUAGCUCAGCUGGCAGAGCAGGUGGCUGUUAACCACCCUGUCGGCGGUUCGAGUCCGUCCCGGGGAGCCA